rnacentral:tRNA from 1 species
GAGGGCAUAGCUCAUAGAGUGCAUGCUUAGUAUGCAUAAGGUCCUGGGUUCAAUACCCAGUACCUCCU